CCUACGGGAGGCAGCAGUGAGGAAUAUUGGUCAAUGGACGAGAGUCUGAACCAGCCAAGUAGCGUGAAGGAUGACUGCCCUAUGGGUUGUAAACCUCUUUUAUAAAGGAAUAAAACGAGGCACGUGUGCCUUUUUGCAUGUACUUUAUGAAUAAGGAUCGGCUAACUCCGUGCCAGCAGCCGCGGUAAUACGGAGGAUCCGAGCGUUAUCCGGAUUUAUUGGGUUUAAAGGGAGCGUAGAUGGGUUGUUAAGUCAGUUGUGAAAGGUUGCGGCUCAACCGUAAAAUUGCAAUUGAUACUGGCAGUCUUGAGUACAGUCGAGGUAGGCGGAAUUCGUGGUGUAGCGGUGAAAUGCUUAGAUAUCACGAAGAACCCCGAUUGCGAAGGCAGCUUACUAAACUGUGACUGACAUUGAUGCUCGAAAGUGUGGGUAUCAAACAGGAUUAGAUACCCUGGUAGUC
rnacentral:rRNA from 1 species